GAUACUCUUAAAACCUGCAUCUUUCAAGGCUCUGGAGAGCCUUACAGCUACAUCUUCACAAAUAAUCACAUCACAGCUACAGGACAAGGUUAGCAAGGCUGAUCUAUCCAGUGGAAGAGGAAGAAAAAGAAAAAAGUCAUGAGAAACAGCAGUAGUCAGGGGUCGUGACCUGCUAUCCACUCACAUAGACAUCACUGUUCACAUUCUAGUAUCUACAUACAGACCAUUUUUUUUUGUGCAAGGAUUGCAUUCAACCACAUAGCACUGCCUGCACACACAGGCUCUGGAUUACAAUAUCAGUGAGUG